rnacentral:rRNA from 1 species
GACGAACGCUGGCGGCGCGCCUAACACAUGCAAGUCGAACGGAGCUGCGCGACUCUUGCUUUUCUUAGCUUAGUGGCGAACGGGUGAGUAACGCGUGAUUAACCUUCCCUGUCGUGGUGGACCACAGUUUGUAACUCCUGCUCAUACCGCAUACGCCCACUAUCCGGCUUCGUAUUGAGGUUAAUGGGUUUAUUCUCUUCAGGAUGGACGCGCGUCCAAUUGGCUAGUUGGUGAGGUAACGGCCAACCAAGGCGACGAUUCGUAGCCGGACUGAGAGGCUGAACGGCCACAAUGGGAAUGAGACACGGACCAGAAUGCUACGGGAGGGAGGAGAGGGGGAUAUUGCAGAAGGGGGGAAAAUCUGAUGCAGCGACGCGGGGUAGAGGGAGAAGGGGGUCGGAUAGUAAAUUCGUGUCGGAAGGGACGAUAAGGAAGGUACCUAACAAGAAAGGACCGGCUAAAUAAGGG